rnacentral:lncRNA from 1 species
AAAAUUUCCUGGAUCAGACAAAUUUGGAAAAAAGGAAGAACAAAGAAAUGAAUGCUUUUAACAUGUUAGCGGUAGUCAGAGCCACAGCCUGUACAAACCAAGGGUUUCAGGGAUGGAGACAUAGAGUAUACGUCUGAUCAGAAACAAAUUUUCUCACGGGAUUCUAUUAACCAAGGAAAAUUAACUGGGAUCCCAGGAGAUAAGGAUGAAGUUUGAUACCAUGCCCAGAUAGACAAUCACCUGUUGUUCUGAGUGCUGCUCCAAGACAACUUUUAUUACCUGAGAGAUGCUUUAUCUGUAUAAUAAGACAACAUUUAUUCACCAUACAUCUCCUCCAUCACCCUCCCACAGCUUGUGUUACCACCAUCUCCCUGAAGCGCCUCAAGAUGUUGUAUAAGCUGCAAUCUUUUGAUUCUUCUUCAAGACUCCUAUAUUGUGGGACUCCCAUGCAUACAUAUGCAAAUAAAUAUGGUUUUUUCUCCUGUUAAUAU